GGUCUUGGUUCAGUGGUGGAGCGCUUGCCUCACAUGUAUGAGGCACUGGGUUCAAUUCUCAGCACCA
rnacentral:tRNA from 1 species